GGCCCUCACUCCUCACCCGGGGCCGCAGAGCGAGACACAGAGAGAGAUGUAGACGAAUGGCGGAAACGCUUGGUCUCUGCAACUCCAUAGCAGCUACUCGUACCGCCAUUCCCAAACACCAACACCUCCUCUCCGCCCCUCCCCUACCCACCUCUAUCCCCGCCUCCGUACGCCCUCCCCACAAUCCUCCCUCCACCUCUUCCCCAUCUUCCUCCUCCUCCUCCUCCUCCAUCUCGCUCAAGAAGCCUUUCCGAAUCCCUAACCCCAUCAUCACCUCCCCCUCUCCUUCUUCCCGCCCAAUUCUCCAGGAGAAGCUGCUCUUCCUCGAAUCCAUCGGCGUCGACGUCCUCCACCUCGCCGACGCCCGCCCCUCUGCCAUCGACGCCCCUCUCGACCGCAUCCUCUCCGUCGUCGACUUCCUCCGCUCCAACGGCUUCCCCGACUCCGAGCUCGGCCGCAUCUUCAAUCUGUGCCCGGAGGUUCUCGAGUCCAGCGUCCGCGACGACGUCCUCCCCGUCUUCACCUUCCUCCUGCGCGAGGUCGGCGUCUCCGGCGACGACCUGCGCGGGGUCAUCAACCGACGGCCGAGACUGCUCGCCUGCAGCGUCCCCGACCGCCUCCGGCCCACCCUCUACUUCCUGCAGUCUCUGGGGAUCGCCGACGUGAGGAAGCACACGGCACUCCUCUCCUGCGACGCCGAGGAGAAGUUCGUCCCCCGCCUCGAGUUCUUCCAGCGUGUCGGAUUCUCCCGCAGGGACGCCGUCUCGAUGGUGAGGCGGUUCCCGCCGCUCUUCUGCUACGGGGUGGAGACCAAUCUACGCCCUAAAUUCGAGUUCCUUGUCAACGACAUGCAGAGGGGAAUGGACGAGCUGAGGGAUUUCCCUCAGUACUUCUCCUUCAGUCUCGAGAACCGGAUAAAGCCGAGACACAUGGUAUCGGUCGAGAACCGUGUCAGGCUGCCGCUGGCCGUCAUGCUCAGGCUGACCGAUGAGCGGUUCAGAGAGAAGAUAGAGGUGUGCGUGGGAUCAUCUCAGCCGUUGAGCAGCUCACCUCUAUGGUACGAGACCGUCGUCGGGUCUCCCUGUAGAGACGGCUCGGGGCAGGCUGUUUAUUGCGCUUAAGGUGCUCGAACCAUUACUUCUUCUAUUGUUGAUUGAUCAUGUAAUUUAAAGAUAAGGAGUCUUCAUCGUUGGACCAGCUGCAGACACAUUAACCAGUCGAUUAUGCACUUUUAUCUUGUAAUUGUGAUUCUUUUUCAGUCUUCAAAGGACUUGUUGCACAACUGCAAACAUUUUUCUCUUUGACACAAUAAUUGUUAGCGGAACAGAACUGUGUUGCCUGAUGCUUGACAAGAGGUGGCAACAGAAAGAAAAGCAUGGCAUUUCAUGCCAACUCUGACCAAACCCACCUGUUUUGGGCUUGAGCUCGCAAUGCUCGGUUUCUUGAGCAUGGACAAGCUCUAGCUGGCUCAUUUACCGCCACUCUCUGUAACUAGAAGGAGGGAGGGAGGGAGAGAUCGAUCUAUCAUGUAAUGAUUUGGAUAGCGGAGUCUCCAAUACAGAAUUAUUUCCCAAUAAUUGUUCCCGCAGAAGGAGACGAUUAAGGUGAAGAACUGGUCCGAAUGAGGAAAGCAGCCAAGUAACCCUCCAGAUUGGCAACCAGUUCCUCCAUCGAACGAGUCAUGAGGUCAUCGAUGUUUUCACCGCGGAGCCUCCAGAAAGCCUCUACAAGCUGCAGUUUCAGCCACUGUGAAAGGAGCUGCCCUGCGGCUGCAACGCAUUCACUGUACACUGAAUAGUAUGCAAUUCCGACCUGCAAUAUUCUUAUUACAUCAGAGACCAAUCUGUGGGGAAUCAUGCAGUUUCGAGUUGCAUUCCAUAAUCUGAUAUGCACAUGGCUCCGUAAAGGUAAAAGUCGAGAAGCCUACAUGAUGUGGAUGGUUUAGCUUCAUUUCCCUUGACUAGAAGCUGUUUGAAGGCCCUGGAUGAGAGGGGAAAUGUGAAUUCAAGUUUGAUGAGUUAUGUAAUGCACCCCCACACACCCAGAGUUACUUCUAAUAGCUGUUCGGGGCAUUGCUUUGGGAGUUAGAAAUGUAAAUGGGAGUGGGGAUGGGACGAUAUCAGUACAAAUCUACUCAAGUCCCUGCUUUUCUUUUGCUC